AGACAGCAGUAGCCACGGUAAUACGAAGGGUGCGAACGUUAAUCGGAAUUACUGGGCGUAAAGCGUGCGCAGGCGGUUGUGUAAGACAGGUGUGAAAUCCCCGGGCUUAACCUGGGAACUGCAUUUGAGACUGUAUGGCUAGAGUGUGUCAGAGGGGGGUAGAAUUCCACGUGUAGCAGUGAAAUGCGUAGAUAUGUGGAGGAAUACCGAUGGCGAAGGCAGCCCCCUGGGAUAACACUGACGCUCAUGCACGAAAGCGUGGGGAGCAAACAGGAUUAGAUACCCCAGUAGUCCCUGUCUCUUAUAC
rnacentral:rRNA from 1 species